AGAUUGAACGCUGGCGGCAUGCCUAACACAUGCAAGUCGAACGGGAGUAGCAAUACUCUAGUGGCGGACGGGUGAGGAAUACGUAGGAAUUUGCCCUUAAGUGGGGGAUAACCCGGGGAAACCCGGAUUAAUACCGCAUGACCUCGAAAGAGCAAAGUGGGGGAUCGCAAGGCCUCACGCUUUUGGAGAAGCCUACGUCGGAUUAGCUAGUUGGUGAGGUAAUGGCUCACCAAGGCGACGAUCCGUAACUGGUCUGAGAGGAUGAUCAGUCACACCGGAACUGAGACACGGGUCCGGACUCCUACGGGAGCAGCAGUGGGGAAUAUUGGACAAUGGCGCAAGCUGAUCCAGCAAUGCCGCGUGUGUGAAGAAGGCCUUCGGUUGUAAAGACUACGUUAAACGUUAGGUAAAGAAAAAACGACGACUACAACACACGUGUAGUCGU
rnacentral:rRNA from 1 species